rnacentral:rRNA from 1 species
GCUUACGGCCACACCGGCCUGAGUACGCCUGUAUCUCGUCCGAUCUCGGAAGCUAAGCAGGGUCGUGCCUGGUUAGUACUUGGAUGGGAGACCGCCUGGGAAUACCAGGUGCUGUAAGCU